rnacentral:lncRNA from 1 species
GGAGGAAAAACUAGGUGUUCCUAGUUUUUCCUAGGUGGAAGGGGGAAGCAGUCUAAAAAGCAGUUUUUAGGGUUUCAGAUAUGUAAUUGUGGCAGCAGGCACAGCAUCAGGGUAAAUCUUCCUUUUGACUUCCUCAGAACACUAGUUGAGAUUUAAGAUCUUGCUUGGACUGCCCUUAAGUACGCUGCUCCAGAGAACUCUGCUCUACGUUGUCAGAAACCAGCUUUCAGAUAUACUCAGAGGAGAAUCACGAGUGCCAAGAGAGACCAUGAGGCAAACUGCUCUCCAUUGAAGGUAUACCAGCCUACCCUUCGUGAGCUAAACACAACCUCACUCUUGCCAGCAUUGUAACUGACUUUUUAAAUCUAGUAAUCUGCAUUUCUUUGAUGCCAUGAAGUCAGUAUUAUUUUCAUGUCUUUGCCAUCUUAAGUUCCUGUUUUGUGAAUAUUCUAUUCCUAUUCCUUGUUAUAAAGGUUUUCAAAGAGUUAAGACAUGUUAAAUAGAAAUUAUUUUGGAAGGUUCUGUGAUUCAAAAUAUCAAAGAGUAUUUCUAACUAGUUGUUUCAGUGGGACCCUAUAGACAGGCAGAACCCUGGGGGAAAUCACCGGAAACUAGGGAUGAGGGCUCAGCUGUAAACACCUGCAACCAUAGAACUGAGCAGACCUUCCCAGCAGACCCAUGAAUAGCCUGAAAUUGAGAUUUAUCCCAUACUGCAGGGGUGACACUUAUCCAAUGGCUAGAAUAUUUAUCACUGCUACUCAGAGCACUCUCACUUCAUGAUAUCAGCAUGCCUGGGGAAACAAGUCAAUAAAUUCAAUGUUUGUGUAGCGAGGCCAGAAUCACAGAAGAAACAUGAAAGCUCUUAAGGGAUCUCAGACCUUUGGAUUUAUCUCACAAAUUAUUUCUAUUCUAUAAGGCAUACCUGGUUAGUGAUAAGAAUAACCCACUAGUCAGAAAUUCCACAUGAACAGUGCUGAACAAACACUAUUAAACUCUUAUUCUCUAAAUCCUCUGUUAAUCAGCUAUCAAAAGCAAAUUACCUCAUGCCAGGUACUUUGCAAUAAAAACCAAGCACUUAAGGCCUCUGAUUACUUGGGUUGGAAUUAAAAGUAUUUCAUUCACCUACUUAGGAGUCACUUCUUAGAUUGGACCACUCUCUCCAAAUGGCUCAUGUCAUCUAUCAGGGUCAAUGUUC